rnacentral:lncRNA from 1 species
GUUUUACAGAGAGGCUGUAGAUCCACAGACUUUAGUGUCCACAGUGGGAGGCUGUGUUGGAGCCAACUGUUUGUAGGUGCUCAUACUCAGCUGUAGCGGUGACCAAAGUACUUGAGAGAUCCUAAAGGGAGAAUGCCUUAUUUUGGCUCACAGUUUGAAUCCAUCACACAGGGAUGGCAUUGUAGAGCCCAGACGUUCACCUCAUAGUGGACGGGAAACAGAACAGGGCAGUCACCGAAGGGGCCAGACGAGUCCCCGAGGACACUUCCGCACGAUCAUUUUCCUCCUAGGAAGCCCUGCUCGCCUCAGCUCCACCACCUAUCUAGUCAAAUCAUGAAUCCAUCAGUGAUUUCAACCACCGAUUAAGUCGGACUACUCACUGUCUAAUUGGAUCUGGAAAGCUCUUCAAAGACAUGCCCAGAGGCAUGCUUGCUAAUCUUCCUGUCUCUCAGUCCAUCAGGUUGACACUCAGGACCAACUGUCACAUUGAAGAAUGAACGUCUCUCUUGAGCCAAUAUCCCAGUGCUGUCCUAUGUGCUCAGUGCAAGGAUCUGGUGGUCUUCCGGAGAUGUGUCCUGUCCUGUGUCCAUGCACAUGAGCCCCCCCCCCCACACACACACACUAUACACACUUUCAUUGUGUCUAUGGAACACCUCCUAGAAUAUAUUCGUAGAGAAUCCUCUGGCAAAAGGGCUUGGAGGCAGCAUCCAGAGAGGUCAGAGAGAUGAGUACGUGCUUAGCAUCAGCUUGACCAAAAAUCUCCUUGGCUCAGUCAGGCUUCUAUCUUUACUUUUCGCGUGGCAGUGAUGGGAAAUGUUGAUGGCCUCAAAGCAAGAGGUCCAGAGAGGAGGGUGGGGGAUGAUGGGGGCCAUCUGGAACCAUUCCAGUGUGGGGCUCCGACUCUGACCGACAAGGGCUGUGGUGGCUUGGGUUGCAGCGAUGCUGAAGCACUAGGAAAGGCUGAUCACCUUUUUUCCCCCAUGAGAUGAUGUCCCAGUGGCCUGUGAGCAUCCUACCUCCUCAUCUCUCAUCUUGAGCUACCUUCUUCUUCUUCUAGAAUCCUCCGCUGCCUGCCCCCGUCCCUGUCAGGCAUCUCUCUCUUUUCCCAGUGGCCCUGUGCUUCCCCCCUUCCUUCCUUCCCUCCCUCUUUCCUUCCCUCCCUCCCUCCCUCCCUCCCUC